AACUUUUUGAGGGACAUUACUUCUGUCAGGCACAAAGGGAGGACUUCUUUCAGCGAGCAAAGCCUUACAAAGAUCAUCCAACAAUUCUUAGGCUACCAGGAAAAGUUCUACUUCAAUCCAGGUGACACUGGAUUCUGUAGCAGUAUAUUUACACACAAGGGGUCGCUCAGGUGACACUGGAUUCUGAAGCAGUAUAUUUACAUUCUGUAAUCUGAACGUUGCAUAGCUUGGUCUACAAUGACAAGGAAAUUGAGUGAUUUUACAAGUCCAAAUUCUGCAACCCCAAGUUUUGUUUUUUUGUUUUUUUUCCUACAAUUGCAGAUAGGUUUCUCUGUCUUGAUUGUAAAUGCUCACUGAUGAAUAAGUGGCUAUACUCAUAUAUUUUUGUAAGGAAA